rnacentral:rRNA from 1 species
AUUGAACGCUGGCGGAAUGCUUUACACAUGCAAGUCGAACGGUAGAGGGGGCAACCCCUCGAGAGUGGCGAACGGGUGAGUAAUAUAUCGGAACGUGCCCAGUCGUGGGGGAUAACGUAGCGAAAGUUACGCUAAUACCGCAUACGAUCUAAGGAUGAAAGCGGGGGAUCGCAAGACCUCGCGCGAUUGGAGCGGCCGAUAUCAGAUUAGGUAGUUGGUGGGGUAAAGGCUCACCAAGCCAACGAUCUGUAGCUGGUCUGAGAGGACGACCAGCCACACUGGAACUGAGACACGGUCCAGACUCCUACGGGAGGCAGCAGUGGGGAAUUUUGGACAAUGGACGCAAGUCUGAUCCAGCCAUUCCGCGUGCAGGAUGAAGGCCCUCGGGUUGUAAACUGCUUUUGUACGGAACGAAAAGGUCUCUCUUAAUACGGGGGGCUCAUGACGGUACCGUAAGAGUAAGCACCGGCUAACUACGUGCCAGCAGCCGCCGAGG